AAAACCUACGGGGGGCAGCAGUGGGGAAUAUUGGGCAAUGGGCGCAAGCCUGACCCAGCAACGCCGCGUGAAGGAAGAAGGCUUUCGGGUUGUAAACUUCUUUUCUCAGGGACGAAGAAAGUGACGGUACCUGAGGAAUAAGCCACGACUAACUACGUGCCAGCAGCCGCGGUAAUACGUAGGUGGCAAGCGUUAUCCGGAUUUACUGGGUGUAAAGGGAGCGUAGGCGGCAGUGCAAGUCAGAAGUGAAAGCCCGGGGCUCAACUCCGGGACUGCUUUUGAAACUGUACAGCUUGAUUGCAGGA
rnacentral:rRNA from 1 species